CCAGACGGUCGGAUGGCCGCUUCGCCCUUGGGCGGGGAGGAAAGUCCGGGCUCCACGGAAACACGGUGCCGGGUAACGCCCGGCGGGGGCGACCMCAGGGAAAGUGCCACAGAGAGCAGACCGCCGGCCUACAGGGUCGGCAAGGGUGAAAGGGUGCGGUAAAAGCGCACCGCGGCCCCGGCAACGGGGGCGGCAUGGUAAACCCCACCGGGAGCAAGAUCGAAUAGGGACGGCACGUGCUUGCCUUUCGGGGUGGCACAGGCAGCGUUUUCCGGGCCGCCGUCCGGGUAGUAUCGCGCGAGGCGUCCGGCGACGGGCGUCCCAGAUGAAUGGCCAUCCCCUCCGGCGUGCCGGAGCGGACAGAACCCGGCUUACAGACCGUCUGGCUUU
rnacentral:RNase_P_RNA from 2 species